UACGGAAGGCAGCAGUGGGGAAUAUUGCACAAUGGGCGCAAGCCUGAUGCAGCCAUGCCGCGUGUAUGAAGAAGGCCUUCGGGUUGUAAAGUACUUUCAGUCGUGAGGAAGGUGUUAAGGUUAAUAACCUUAGCAAUUGACGUUAGCGACAGAAGAAGCACCGGCUAACUCCGUGCCAGCAGCCGCGGUAAUACGGAGGGUGCGAGCGUUAAUCGGAAUUACUGGGCGUAAAGGGCACGCAGGCGGUUAAUUAAGUUGGAUGUGAAAUCCCCGGGCUUAACCUGGGAAUGGCAUUCAAGACUGGUUAGCUAGAGUCUUGUAGAGGGGGUAGAAUUCCAUGUGUAGCGGUGAAAUGCGUAGAGAUGUGGAGGAAUACCGGGUGGCGAAGGCGGCCCCUGGGACAAAGGACUGACGCUCAUGUGCGAAAGCGUGGGGAGCGAAACAGGGAUUAGAU
rnacentral:rRNA from 1 species